AUUGAACGCUGGCGGCAGGCCUAACACAUGCAAGUCGAACGAGUGGCGGACGGGUGAGUAAUGUCUGGGAAACUGCCUGAUGGAGGGGGAUAACUACUGGAAACGGUAGCUAAUACCGCAUACCAUCGGAUGUGCCCAGAUGGGAUUCGUUAGUAGGUGGGGUAAAGGCUCACCUAGGCGACGAUCCCUAGCUGGUCUGAGAGGAUGACAGGCCACACUGGAACUGAGACACGGUCCAGAAUCCUACGGUAGGCAGCAGUGGGGAAUAUUGCACAAUGGGCGCAAGCCUGAUGCAGCCAUGCCGCGUGUGUGAAGAAGGCCUUCGGGUUGUAAAGUACUUUCAGCGGGGAAGCGUUACCCGCAGAAGAAGCACCGGCUAACUCCGUGCCAGCAGCCGCGGUAAUUC
rnacentral:rRNA from 1 species